GAUGAACGCUGGCGGCGUGCCUAAUACAUGCAAGUCGAGCGAACGGACGAGAAGCUUGCUUCUCUGAUGUUAGCGGCGGACGGGUGAGUAACACGUGGAUAACCUACCUAUAAGACUGGGAUAACUUCGGGAAACCGGAGCUAAUACCGGAUGAUAUUUUGAACCGCAUGGUUCAAAAGUGAAAGACGGUCUUGCUGUCACUUAUAGCUGGAUCCGCACUGCAUUAGCUAGUUGGUAAGGUAACGGCUUACCAAGGCAACGAUGCAUAGCCGACCUGAGAGAGUGAUCGGCCACACUGGAACUGAGACACGGUCCAGACGCCUACGGGAGGCAGCAGUAGGGAAUCUUCCGCAAUGGGCGAGAGCCUGACGGAGCAACGCCGCGUGAGUGAUGAAGGUCUUCGGAUCGUAAAACUGUGUUAUUAGGGAAGAACAUAUGUGUAAGUAACUGUGCACAUCGUGACGGUACCUAAUCAGAAAGCCACGGCUAACUACGUG
rnacentral:rRNA from 1 species